rnacentral:lncRNA from 1 species
UUUUCUUCUUAUGGUAUAUACAAUUGAACUAUGUAUCCAACACGAUCAAACUAUUCCCAUGUUUCUCUAUGGAUUGAGGAAAGAAUACAUAGUGAAAUAACAUUUACCAGUACUAGUCUUGGGAAAACAAGAGCUCGAAUGCCAACCAAGGAGUUUCUGUGUUAGGUUUGAACUGAUGACCUACCUGUAAGUAAACCAAGGAUCUCAUGAUGUUUUAUUCUGUGCAUCAUGCCCGGAUGUACAUAAUAGAGCAGUACAACACCUUAGCUUCAUUUUAACAAAAGACAAACAUGAAAAGAAAACAAGUUAAGUUGUUGUAAGCAUUUCAGUAAACACCAAGAGGGCAACAAAAUAACAACAAUAGGAACAGUGUUUUUUCUUUCGUUUUUGUUCUACAACUUCUCUGAAAUCAAAACCCUCUCCAUGUUCAUUUUGGAUCAAUUUUUCCUGAACUCCCAGAUUCCAGAGCUACCCGAUGUUCUGGGUUCUUUUAUGAACCUUUUUAUUAUCUUUUUUUUGAACUUGAAACGAAUAUACACAAUAAACAAAUGUACUACACAAGAAUGUACAUCUACGGAAGAAUAUGGUACAUGAAAAGAGGAAGGGGGAAGGCUAGACCUCUUCGCUGCGUCACUGGACGGCCUCGGCUGUCGGCAGUGAACGGACUGUGGUACUGGAGGUGAACGGCCUGGCCGCUGCGGGAAUGGGGGAUGGGGCACGGCCAGCAGCAGCAGGAGGCGGCGACCUGCAGAAGGAAGAGGCUGCGACCUGACGAGCAAGCGAUACAAAUGAGAAAAGAAAUAAACCCUGGCUCGUCACCGUCGAACUGAACUCCGCGCGCCCUGUUGAACUGCUGAAAUAUUUUAGUACGGGUUAGAUACAUUGCCAAACUAGUACCUGAAAAUCUCAUCCCCAAAUAUGCAUGUCAAUCUUCACAGUUGGAAGUAAUCUGAGUUAUCUCAAAAGAUCGAACUGAAACAUACAUGCAAGAACGAAACCGGUACAAGCAAUACAAACAAUCAAUAUGAGGAGGAAUGUCUAGAUGAAUAAGAACAGAGCAUCAAGAAGAUUCAUCAAAUUCAUACCAAAAAUAUGAGGAGGGGUCACGGUACGCCAACCAAUAGGCUAGCGGGAGGAGGACACGGCC